AUUUCCUCGUGCAGUUCAGGCUUCCUGGUAGCUACCAAAAUGUAUUCAGUCCGCCAUUGUGGAAGCCGUGACGGAAACGGAUAACAGCCCUCUUCCUGUCGUCGCUCCAGCCUCAGGUAGUGUGCCGUCCAGUUUCAGCGGAGGUUCCCGUCGGUGAAAUCAAUCAUGUCUUCUGACGAGGGGAAGUUAUUUGUUGGUGGCCUCAGCUUCGACACCACUGAACAGUCUCUGGAGGAUGUGUUCUCCAAAUACGGUCAGAUAUCUGAAGUUGUUGUUAUCAAGGACAGGGAGACUCAGAGGUCCCGUGGCUUUGGUUUCGUCACCUUUGAGAAUCCAGAUGAAGCCAAGGAUGCCAUGAUUGCAUUGAAUGGCAAGUCUCUUGAUGGCAGGCAGAUCCGUGUGGACCAGGCCGGCAAGUCAGGCAGCGGCGGUCGUUCAGGCGGAGGUUACCGAGGAGGUUCAAGUGGAGGCGGAACAUAUUAUCCCAACUGGGGAAGAGGUGGUGGUGGAAGAGGAGGUGGCCGUGGCUAUUCACAAGGUCCGUCAAGAUUCGACAGCAGAAGUGGAAACUACCAGGACCGACCCUACUACAGCAGAGACAGAAACCCAGGAGGAUUUGGACCCCGCUCAGGAGGGGGUGGUGCUGUGGUCAUUGACGCCCAAUGAGGCCUCCUGUAGUUGAAAUAUGUUGGAAGAAACAAUAUGUUGAUGGCCCAGUUUAGCACUCUACUACAAUGGGGUUUCAAAGGUGAUGAUAGUGGUUGGUAGCCCGGCUUGGUGGAUCUCUGUUAUCCAGGCUACACCCUUACUACUCCCCUGAUCCGCAGCCCAUUCUGAUGACAGCAGACCUCGCUGGAAUUCAUAGCGGUGCAGAACCUACUGCACCUAAUGUUGAAAAAUCAUUAUGUUAAACCAUUUAUGUAGGUAAGAGCAGUCCUGGAUAAGUUCAGGCGAGGGCCGGCUUGCACGCCAAGCCGUCUUGGCUGGUCUUUUUCCAAGUUUUAUUUUUGAUGUAGCUUUUGUUUUCCAUCGAGUCUUCUCGUUUUGCAAUUGAUCUGAAGAGAACCCAUUUUGAUUUCUAUUACAAUAAGUGCACUUUGUCUCACUUGGAGAUCUGCAUACACAAAUUUAGACAGGGCCAUGCAGGAAGGGAAUGUAUAACUAGAAAAUGGAUACACCUUUUUUGAAUUUUGAAGUGUCUGUGUCCCGAAGGGUGGUUGAAUCUUAAGGAACGGUAACAUUGCUGUUUUUGUUAGCACAUUGUGUCAAGAGAAAGUUGGAUAAAAAGUAAACAGUUUAUAUUCUACAGAAUAAAUACAGUCAUUCUUCAAUGGAGCACAGGCCUUUCGGCUGAUUAUCUUAACCCUCCUCAAGCGAUUAAAAACAGUGCUUCCUUCUCAAGCCAUUUAGUUUCUACAGAGAUUUUGCUUAAUCGUCUGUACAUCAAGAGAUUGUACCUUUUGUUUCAAAAUUAGAUGCUACUCACAUUUUCAGCACUGUGACAGGUGACUGUAAAUCAGACCAAAUCUGUCCAAGUUUUCUCAGCAAGUGUUCGGAUAGUACAAAAGUUCUCCUCAUGUUAAUUUUGUAUUUUUUUUUUUGUUUGUUUGUUUUUGUUUUUUUUUUUUAAGCAUGCUAUAAUUUCAUGUUUGUAUUUUUCUGAAAUAAAAAAAUCAU